AUAUCAAUAAGCGGAGGAAAAGAAACCAACAGGGAUUACCUCAGUAACGGCGAGUGAAGCGGUAACAGCUCAAAUUUGAAAUCUGCCUACAGGCCGAGUUGUAAUUUGUAGAAGAUGCUUCGGGUGUGGCACUCGGUCUAAGUUCCUUGGAACAGGACGUCAUAGAGGGUGAGAAUCCCGUAGUGAUGGUCGCCUUUCCGCCGA
rnacentral:rRNA from 1 species